GACGAACGCUGGCGGCGUGCUUAACACAUGCAAGUCGAACGGUAAGGCCCUGUUGGUGUUGCAUGAGUGGCGGACGAGUGAGUAAGUCAUAGGUGAGCAACCCGCCCUUGUUUUUUGGGUAUGUUCAGGUAAGUCUAGUUACUACCAGAUCUAAGCUACUCCUGCAUUGUGGGGGUUGGCAUUUGUCGGCGGUGGGGGAUGGACUCGCGGCUUAUCAGCUUGUUGGUGGGGUGGUGGCAUACAAAGGCACUGACGGGUAGCCGGCCUGAGAGGGUGACCGGCCACACUGGGACUGAGAUACGGCCCAGACUCCUACGGGAGGCAGCAGUGGGGAAUAUUGCACAAUGGGCGGAAGCCUGAUGCAGCGACGCCGCGUGCGGGAUGACGGCCUUCGGGUUGUAAACCGCUUUCGGCUGUGACGAAGCGUGAGUGACGGUAAUGGGAGAAGAAGCACCGGCUAACUACGUG
rnacentral:rRNA from 1 species